UUUAAGUUGGAUCCCUAUAUUAUCAGGAAUCCUGGGCCCAUUAAAAAAAAGAUGAUUAAGAGGAAGAAGGAGAUAAAAUUACCAAAGAAAGUAAAACAGGAUGCACACUUUCACCAUAUACAUGUUAGCACAAUUGUUGCUGUUUUGUUUUAGGCUUCUUUCACGUAACUUUGGCUUUUCCAUAACAUUAGCUUUCUUUACUUUGUAUACCAUAAAAUCAUUCCUUUCUUUUGCAAAACCUCAACUUAAAAAUUGACCAUAAAACUCCUCUUUUGAGUAAUUCUUCCGCAUCCUUUUUCUAUUUGUUUUAUAAUAUUUUAAUUAGGUCUUUUUCUUUGCAAUAAGUUUGUUGAAAACUGGAGUUACAGAGGUGAUUCUUCUAUGGUGUGGUUGAGAAGUAUGUCAUUUGAAAUCAUGGCAGAAGAAAAAAAAAAGAAGAAAAGGAAGGAGCACCAGACAGAUAGAAAAAAUUGAAGAGAACGAGGCUGUAUCAGAUAAGAAAAAGCUACAGAGAGGAGGGUUUGCUCUUGCGUUGGCAAUCAUAAAAAUGGUGGUGCUGGAGGGGUUGCCUCUACGAUGUCGUAGAGGAUGUCGGAUGAAAAAAGGUGUAUCGUUUUAGAUCCUGGUUAUUUUGAUUGUCCAUUUUCAGUUCAUUCGAUAGGAUGCAUGAUUAUUUUUAUUUCUUAAAGGCUUUGAUUAAUUCGAUAAAUUCAUACCCAUUGGAAUCUGCAAGAGGUACAUAAUUAAUGAAAUUACAGUUGAAUA